GUGAAGGGGGAAUAACUGCCCCG
rnacentral:guide_RNA from 1 species